CCCCCAGUAGCGGCGAGCGAACGGGGAGGAGCCCAGAGCCUGAAUCAGUGUGUGUGUUAGUGGAAGCGUCUGGAAAGGCGCGCGAUACAGGGUGACAGCCCCGUACACAAAAAUGCACAUGCUGUGAGCUCGAUGAGUAGGGCGGGACACGUGGUAUCCUGUCUGAAUAUGGGGGGACCAUCCUCCAAGGCUAAAUACUCCUGACUGACCGAUAGUGAACCAGUACCGUGAGGGAAAGGCGAAAAGAACCCCGGCGAGGGGAGUGAAAAAGAACCUGAAACCGUGUACGUACAAGCAGUGGGAGCACGCUUAGGCGUGUGACUGCGUACCUUUUGUAUAAUGGGUCAGCGACUUAUAUUCUGUAGCAAGGUUAACCGAAUAGGGGAGCCGAAGGGAAACCGAGUCUUAACUGGGCGUUAAGUUGCAGGGUAUAGACCCGAAACCCGGUGAUCUAGCCAUGGGCAGGUUGAAGGUUGGGUAACACUAACUGGAGGACCGAACCGACUAAUGUUGAAAAAUUAGCGGAUGACUUGUGGCUGGGGGUGAAAGGCCAAUCAAACCGGGAGAUAGCUGGUUCUCCCCGAAAGCUAUUUAGGUAGCGCCUCGUGAAUUCAUCUCCGGGGGUAGAGCACUGUUUCGGCAAGGGGGUCAUCCCGACUUACCAACCCGAUGCAAACUGCGAAUACCGGAGAAUGUUAUCACGGGAGACACACGGCGGGUGCUAACGUCCGUCGUGAAGAGGGAAACAACCCAGACCGCCAGCUAAGGUCCCAAAGUCAUGGUUAAGUGGGAAACGAUGUGGGAAGGCCCAGACAGCCAGGAUGUUGGCUUAGAAGCAGCCAUCAUUUAAAGAAAGCGUAAUAGCUCACUGGUCGAGUCGGCCUGCGCGGAAGAUGUAACGGGGCUAAACCAUGCACCGAAGCUGCGGCAGCGACACUGUGUGUUGUUGGGUAGGGGAGCGUUCUGUAAGCCUGUGAAGGUGUACUGUGAGGUAUGCUGGAGGUAUCAGAAGUGCGAAUGCUGACAUAAGUAACGAUAAAGCGGGUGAAAAGCCCGCUCGCCGGAAGACCAAGGGUUCCUGUCCAACGUUAAUCGGGGCAGGGUGAGUCGACCCCUAAGGCGAGGCCGAAAGGCGUAGUCGAUGGGAAACAGGUUAAUAUUCCUGUACUUGGUGUUACUGCGAAGGGGGGACGGAGAAGGCUAUGUUGGCCGGGCGACGGUUGUCCCGGUUUAAGCGUGUAGGCUGGUUUUCCAGGCAAAUCCGGAAAAUCAAGGCUGAGGCGUGAUGACGAGGCACUACGGUGCUGAAGCAACAAAUGCCCUGCUUCCAGGAAAAGCCUCUAAGCAUCAGGUAACAUCAAAUCGUACCCCAAACCGACACAGGUGGUCAGGUAGAGAAUACCAAGGCGCUUGAGAGAACUCGGGUGAAGGAACUAGGCAAAAUGGUGCCGUAACUUCGGGAGAAGGCACGCUGAUAUGUAGGUGAAGCGACUUGCUCGUGGAGCUGAAAUCAGUCGAAGAUACCAGCUGGCUGCAACUGUUUAUUAAAAACACAGCACUGUGCAAACACGAAAGUGGACGUAUACGGUGUGACGCCUGCCCGGUGCCGGAAGGUUAAUUGAUGGGGUUAGCGGUAACGCGAAGCUCUUGAUCGAAGCCCCGGUAAACGGCGGCCGUAACUAUAACGGUCCUAAGGUAGCGAAAUUCCUUGUCGGGUAAGUUCCGACCUGCACGAAUGGCGUAAUGAUGGCCAGGCUGUCUCCACCCGAGACUCAGUGAAAUUGAACUCGCUGUGAAGAUGCAGUGUACCCGCGGCAAGACGGAAAGACCCCGUGAACCUUUACUAUAGCUUGACACUGAACAUUGAGCCUUGAUGUGUAGGAUAGGUGGGAGGCUUUGAAGUGUGGACGCCAGUCUGCAUGGAGCCGACCUUGAAAUACCACCCUUUAAUGUUUGAUGUUCUAACGUGGACCCGUGAUCCGGGUUGCGGACAGUGUCUGGUGGGUAGUUUGACUGGGGCGGUCUCCUCCUAAAGAGUAACGGAGGAGCACGAAGGUUGGCUAAUCCUGGUCGGACAUCAGGAGGUUAGUGCAAUGGCAUAAGCCAGCUUGACUGCGAGCGUGACGGCGCGAGCAGGUGCGAAAGCAGGUCAUAGUGAUCCGGUGGUUCUGAAUGGAAGGGCCAUCGCUCAACGGAUAAAAGGUACUCCGGGGAUAACAGGCUGAUACCGCCCAAGAGUUCAUAUCGACGGCGGUGUUUGGCACCUCGAUGUCGGCUCAUCACAUCCUGGGGCUGAAGUAGGUCCCAAGGGUAUGGCUGUUCGCCAUUUAAAGUGGUACGCGAGCUGGGUUUAGAACGUCGUGAGACAGUUCGGUCCCUAUCUGCCGUGGGCGCUGGAGAACUGAGGGGGGCUGCUCCUAGUACGAGAGGACCGGAGUGGACGCAUCACUGGUGUUCGGGUUGUCAUGCCAAUGGCACUGCCCGGUAGCUAAAUGCGGAAGAGAUAAGUGCUGAAAGCAUCUAAGCACGAAACUUGCCCCGAGAUGAGUUCUCCCUGACUCCUUGAGAGUCCUGAAGGAACGUUGAAGACGACGACGUUGAUAGGCCGGGUGUGUAAGCGCAGCGAUGCGUUGAGCUAACCGGUACUAAUGAACCGUGAGGCUUAACCUU
rnacentral:rRNA from 1 species